ACUCCUACGGGAGGCAGCAGUGGGGGAAUAUUGCACAAUGGGGGGAAAACCCUGAUGCAGCCAUGCCGCGUGUGUGAAGAAGGCCUUCGGGUUGUAAAGCACUUUCAGUAGGGAGGAAGGUAGUGUAGUUAACACCUGCAUUAUUUGACGUUACCUACAGAAGAAGCACCGGCUAACUCCGUGCCAGCAGCCGCGGUAAUACGGAGGGUGCGAGCGUUAAUCGGAAUUACGUGGGCGUAAAGCGCAUGCAGGCGGCCUGUUAAGUCAGAUGUGAAAGCCCGGGGUCUUAACCUCGGAAUUGCAUUUGAAACUGGCAGGCUAGAGUCUUGUAGAGGGGGUUAGAAUUUCAGGUGUAGCGGUAGAAAUGCGUAGAGAUCUGAAGAAUACCGAGUGGCGAACGGCGUCCCCGUGGACAAAGACUGACGCUCAGAUGCGAAAGCGUGGG
rnacentral:rRNA from 1 species